GACGAACGCUGGCGGCGUGCUUAACACAUGCAAGUCGAACGCUGAAGCUCAGCUUUUGUUGGGUGGAUGAGUGGCGAACGGGUGAGUAACACGUGAGUAACCUGCCUCCUUCUUUGGGAUAACGCCCGGAAACGGGUGCUAAUACUGGAUAUUCACUGGUCUUCGCAUGGGGGUUGGUGGAAAGGGUUUUUCUGGUGGGGGAUGGGCUCGCGGCCUAUCAGCUUGUUGGUGGGGUGAUGGCCUACCAAGGCUUUGACGGGUAGCCGGCCUGAGAGGGUGACCGGUCACAGUGGGACUGAGAUACGGCCCAGACUCCUACGGGAGGCAGAAGUGGGGAAUAUUGCACAAUGGGCGCAAGCCUGAUGCAGCGACGCCGCGUGAGGGAUGGAGGCCUUCGGGUUGUGAACCUCUUUCGCUCAUGGUCAAGCCGCAACAAUGGUUGUGGUGAGGGUAGUGGGUAAAGAAGCGCCGGCUAACUACGUG
rnacentral:rRNA from 1 species